rnacentral:hammerhead_ribozyme from 1 species
AUUCAGCUGACGAGUCUCAAAUAGGACUAAACGCGCGUCCUGAAU